rnacentral:rRNA from 1 species
UACGUAGGGACCAAGCGUUGUUCGGAUUUACUGGGCGUAAAGGGCGCGUAGGCGGCGCGGUAAGUCACUUGUGAAAUCUCUGAGCUUAACUCAGAACGGCCAAGUGAUACUGCAGUGCUAGAGUGUGGAAGGGGCAAUCGGAAUUCUUGGUGUAGCGGUGAAAUGCGUAGAUAUCAAGAGGAACACCUGAGGUGAAGACGGGUUGCUGGGCCGAACACGU